rnacentral:rRNA from 1 species
GCGGCGGAGGGGUGAGUAACACGUGGGUAACCUGCCUGUAAGAGUGGGAUAACUCCGGGAAACCGGAGCUAAUACCGGAUAGUUCCUUGAACCGCAUGGUUCAAGGAUGAAAGACGGUUUCGGCUGUCACUUACAGAUGGACCCGCGGCGCAUUAGCUAGUUGGUGGGGUAAUGGCUCACCAAGGCGACGAUGCGUAGCCGACCUGAGAGGGUGAUCGGCCACACUGGGACUGAGACACGGCCCAGACUCCUACGGGAGGCAGCAGUAGGGAAUCUUCCGAAAUGGACGAAAGUCUGACGGAGCAACGCCGCGUGAGUGAUGAAGGUUUUCGGAUCGUAAAGCUCUGUUGUUAGGGAAGAACAAGUGCGAGAGUAACUGCUCGCACCUUGACGGUACCUAACCAGAAAGCCACGGCUAACUACGUGCCAGCAGCCGCGG